AAAGCGAACAGGAAGAAGGAAAUACGAGUAUGUCCACCAGAAGUGAAGCUCAAGAACUUAGAAGGGUGUCUGUGGGAAGGCCUUUACGCCGAGCAGUGGAGAAGGUCCAAUCCUACAAGGAAAUGAAGCUUAAUGUGAAGAUGCGCAGAGAAGUGUGAGUGAGUUCGUUCUCUUAGCAUCGUUCUAAUAAGCUUUGAGUUGCAUCUAAUUUCUGUGUUACCACAACGCUGUAUAAUAUAUGUUGUGCCUUUUUCUUUUUCUUGACAUGCCUAACCCAAUGCAUCUACCAUGUAUGACUGUUGGAAAUGCCUGAAUUCCAAGUAGUUUUGUAAGAUUUUUGAUCCAUUUGCUGGUCGAAUGUGGAAUAUUUCUGUGGGAAUUUUCAUAAGAGAAUUCGCCUCUAGUUCACACAACUCUUAUCAAUUCCCAAUCUUUUUAAUUCUGUUAUUUGAGUUUCGAGAUCUAUUUUUGUCUUUUACUUUUCAAUGUACUCUUAACUUAAUAAUGGAGGGGGGGGGGGGGCAAACCCCGAAUUUUACCUCAUUAUCUAAUUUAUCUUUGAUGGACUUCACCUGAAUUCCAUUGGCUGAGCUUAACUGAAUUCUAAUAAAACCCAAGUAAAAUUCAAUAGAUGGUUCGAUCCUCACCCUAGAUAUAGAGUAGCUUUAAAAUUCGUGGCCAACGUUUACCUCUUAAUAGAUUUACAAAAUGCGAAUGAUUAGUUAUUGAGCUUGCUUCGGUAAAUAUAUUGAGAAAAAGAAAAAAUAGAGUAUAAUAUUUGUUGAAGGUGUCUAACAUAAAUAUGCUCAAAAUUCUUAAAAAUGUUUUUUUUUCUUAAUGUUUUGAUGAAUCUAUUUCAAUGCCUAUAUAUCAUAUAUAUUGAAUUGUUUUCAGAUUUUUUUUCCACCUUUUAUUAAUUGGUGACUUGACAUUUUAAGGAAAAAAAACAUAAAUUCUGCCGCAUUUUUCUUUCAUAUAAAUCAAAAUUAAAAAAUAAUUAAUAAAAUAAGUCAAAUGGUAAUUUAUUUUCUAAAAGUAAUUUAAAAAUAAAAAAUCGUCUCUAAAAAUAAAACAUAUGAAGACGCAAAUAGUAGGCGAUUUGAGAACCUACUCUCAUCGUCUACUCUAAUUGCUAUCUUCAUAUGUUGCCGACUUUUGCCAAUGAAUUUAUUUUCUUACACUUUUAAUUGAUAAAUAAAUAAUAAUUUGACAUAUUUAUUAAUUAUUUUUGAGUUUUGAUGUAUAUGAAAAGUUUUCAUCUUACUAUUUUUUAUUAAAAUAAUAUAAUUUUAUUCCACAAAAAACAUAUAAUAUAAUCUUAUUCAAAGCUAUAUCAAGAAAAAAUGGUUAAAAUCAACUAAAACCUGUUGGUUAUUUGUGACCUGCAUAGGCAUACUUCUAGCUAGACCUGUCCAUAGGCCGGGCGGCCCGGCUGGCCCGACGGCCCGCCUGAAAUAUGGAAGGGUUCGGGUAAAAAUAUAGGCUCGAAAUAUGUGUUUGGACAAAAAUUUAGGCUCGUUUAGAAAACGGGCCGGGCCUCGGGCAAAAUUUUUUUGAUCCGGACUCGGCCCGAAAAAUAUUAAAUAUAUAUAUUUUUAUUUUAAAAAUAUAACAGCUUUUAUUUUAAGUUUGAUUUACUUUCCUCUUAAUGCUGCUGUCAGUGCUGUGCCUUCCUUUUUUCCCCAUUUCCAAAAUCGACAGACACCCAAAAUCCAUUGUGCUGUCUCCUGUGCCUUCCUCCCUUUUUUUUCCCAUUUCCAAAAUCGACGGUCUCUUCCAGUACCGUUUGCUCAUCUUCUUCGUUUGGUACAGGAGUUUGGUACAGGUACGGGUUUGCUCAUCUUCUUCGUUUUCCUCGUUUUCAUUCUCUGUGACUGUAAGAUACUUCAUUUCUUUUGAUUAUUCUUCUUCAGGUUACUCUUUUAUUUCUUUUAUCAAUUACCCUUCUUCUUUGCCUGCACAUUCAAUUAAGCGCAACUCUUUUACUCUUUCAAAAUCUGAGACAUUGAUUUUUUUUCUAGAGAUUGUGUUCUUAGGUGUUCUGAAUCAAUGGUUAGGAUUAUGUUACAAAGUUGAAACAUUAGAUAAAUAUUUAUUAAAAACAAUUGUUCUUUCAAUGAAUUUAUGCAUCAAAACAGCAAUAACAUAAAUACCAAAUGUAAAAUAAAAUGUAUUAAAGCAUCAAAAAGCUUACCUGAAAUGCAGACCGAAAGCUCAAAAAAUCAAUAAACAUAUGAACAAAGAAGAGAAGAAGAUGAAGGCACACAGUUUAGCAGGCAGGACAAGAUUAGUCUAC
rnacentral:lncRNA from 1 species